CAGUCGCCGCGGUAAGACAGAGGAUGCAAGCGUUAUCCGGAAUGAUUGGGCGUAAAGCGUCUGUAGGUGGCUUUUCAAGUCCGCCGUCAAAUCCCAGGGCUCAACCUGGGAAUGGCGCUUGUGACUGCAAAGCUAGAGUGCGGCAGAGGGGGAUGGAAUUCCGCGUGUAGCAGUGAAAUGCGUAGAUAUGCGGAGGAACACCGACGGCGAAGGCAAUCCCCUGGGCCUGCACUGACGCUCAUGCACGAAAGCGUGGGGAGCAAACAGGAUUAGAGACCCCGGUAGUCCCUGUCUCUUAUAC
rnacentral:rRNA from 1 species